CUCUGUAUCCUGCAGGUGACUUCUCAGUCCCAGCUCUGGGGAAUGCAUCCAUACAAGAGAAACAGCACACAGUGGAAGGAAUUCAUUUCUCAGGAAAAGAGACAGAUGUGAUAUUAUGAAGAAUGGUCAGGGAAAUUGAUUGUCCAUUGACACUCAGUUUCACAGUGAAAAUUCAGCUUUCCUAAUUUCCAGACUUCUUCCCAGGCCCAGUUGAAGAACCAUAUCCUUUAUGAAGCUGCCCCUGACUCUCUUCCUUUUCUAAAUGGCUCCAGUAUUCAUGGCCCUUGCCCCACCAUAGCCCACUUGGUACAUACAUUGCAUUUUUGUGUAUGCUACAACCCCUGGAAAUCAUGUAAAGUUGUAUAUAUAUUCAUAUAAUGAGAACUUAAUAAAUUAUUUCAUGGAAUACAUCAAAGACCCAAGACCAAAUUAAAAGGUCUACACCCGAAGUAAAAACUUUUAAAGAUCCUUUA